GAUGAACGCUAGCGGCAGGCCUAACACAUGCAAGUCGAACGGUAACAGGAAUUAGCUUGCUAAUUUGCUGACGACCGGCGCACGGGUGCGUAACGCGUAUAGAACCUACCUUUUACUGAGGGAUAGCCUUUAGAAAUGAAGAUUAAUACCUCAUAGUAUUGCGAUUUGGCAUCAGAUUGUAAUUAAAGAUUUAUUGGUAAAAGAUGGCUAUGCGUCUUAUUAGCUAGAUGGUAAGGUAACGGCUUACCAUGGCAACGAUAAGUAGGGGCCCUGAGAGGGGGAUCCCCCACACUGGUACUGAGACACGGACCAGACUCCUACGGGAGGCAGCAGUGAGGAAUAUUGGACAAUGGACGAAAGUCUGAUCCAGCUAUGCCGCGUGCAGGAUGACGGCCCUAUGGGUUGUAAACUGCUUUUAUACAGGAAGAAAAACUCCGACGUGUCGGAACUUGACGGUACUGUAAGAAUAAGGAUCGGCUAACUCCGUGCCU
rnacentral:rRNA from 1 species